UUUUAUGUACAUGCCUACAAUGUUAAUUCAUUGGAUCCCAUCAUAACUUUGUAGUUAAGUUCUUUUAGGAUAGAGUAGUAUUGGGAUCGAUGACCUCUCGAGAAGUUCUAGUGUCUUAAAAG
rfam:Picea glauca, whole genome shotgun sequence.